GCUACGGGAGGCAGCAGUGGGGACUAUUGGGCAAUGGGCGCAAGCCUGACCCAGCAACGCCGCGUGAAGGAAGAAGGCUUUCGGGUUUUAAACUUCUUUUCUCAGGGACGAAGCGAGUUACGGUACCUGAGGAAUAAGCCACGGCUAACUACUUGCCAGCAGCCGCGGUAAUACGUAGGUGGCAAGCGUUAUCCGGUUUUACUGGGUGUAAAGGGCGUGUAGGCGGGACUGCAAGUCAGAUGUGAAAACCACGGGCUAAACCUGUGGCCUGCAUUUGAAACUGUAGUUCUUGAGUACUGGAGAGGGAGACGGAAUUCCUAGUGUAGCGGUGAAAUGCGUAGAUAUUAGGAGGAACAGCAGUGGCGAAGGCGGUCUGCUGGACAGCAACUGACGCUGAGGCGCGAAAGCGUGGGGAGCAAACAGGAUUAGAUACCCCUGGUC
rnacentral:rRNA from 1 species